rnacentral:snoRNA from 1 species
UUCUUUACUGAGAGAAAGGUGGAUGGCCCAGUAAGAAUUGGAGGCAAAGAAAUGUGGAUCUGGAGAAAUCUGGGGCCAACUUGUUCCCCGUAGGCUCAAGACCAACCCUUCCACAUAG